rnacentral:rRNA from 1 species
UACAGAGGUCUCAAGCGUUGUUCGGAUUCAUUGGGCGUAAAGGGUGUGUAGGUGGCGCCGUAAGUCGGGUGUGAAAUUUCGGAGCUUAACUCCGAAACUGCAUUCGAUACUGCGGUGCUUGAGGACUGGAGAGGAGACUGGAAUUCCUAGUGUAGAGGUGAAAUUCGUAGAUAUUAGGAAGAACACCAGUGGCGAAGGCGGCUCACUGGUCCGGUACUGACGCUGAGGUGCGAAAGCGUGGGGAGCAAACAGG